rnacentral:lncRNA from 1 species
CGCGACUGAAGCAACUGAGCACUCACACGUGUACUUGUGUUAUUCAUUAACAACAACAAAAUACCUCGAGAGCACCUUCUUUGUGCCGGGCAGCGUUUUGGGACUGGUAACAUAGCAGCAAAUACAAGGAGUGCAUGUAUACAGACUCAUUUCUUCAUUCACCAAAUGUCUGUUGGGUAGCUGCUGUAGAUUCAGUAUGUGCGGCUGCUGCUACCGCUGCUAAGUCGCUUCAGUCGUGUCUGACCCUGUGUGACCCCAUGGACGGCAGCCCACCAGACUUAAGGUACAAAUCUGAAUC